rnacentral:rRNA from 1 species
GACGAACGCUGGCGGCGUGCCUAAUACAUGCAAGUUGAGCGCUGAAGGUUGGUACUUGUACCAACUGGAUGAGCAGCGAACGGGUGAGUAACGCGUGGGGAAUCUGCCUUUGAGCGGGGGACAACAUUUGGAAACGAAUGCUAAUACCGCAUAAAAACUUUAAACACAAGUUUUAAGUUUGAAAGAUGCAAUUGCACCACUCAAAGAUGAUCCCGCGUUGUAUUAGCUAGUUGGUGAGGUAAAGGCUCACCAAGGCGAUGAUACAUAGCCGACCUGAGAGGGUGAUCGGCCACAUUGGGACUGAGACACGGCCCAAACUCCUACGGGAGGCAGCAGUAGGGAAUCUUCGGCAAUGGACGAAAGUCUGACCGAGCAACGCCGCGUGAGUGAAGAAGGUUUUCGGAUCGUAAAACUCUGUUGGUAGAGAAGAACGUUGGUGAGAGUGGAAAGCUCAUCAAGUGACGGUAACUACCCAGAAAGGGACGGCUAACUACGU